GAGGCCCUAUUUGAGAGUCAUACACUUAUACUAGUUUUAUUUGUUGUUGUUGUUUAUAAUCUGAAGAAAUGAACUUCAGCCAUCUAGAACAAAAAUAAUUGGAUUUGUUGGAGGGUUACGGACUGAGAUAAUCCUUAAAGUCCAACUAAUUGGUUAACAGAACAGGACGUGAAAGCAGACAGCCCGUCAGACCACAGGCCUGUGCAU
rnacentral:lncRNA from 1 species